ACAUUAGAUAUUGUAUGGUACUUUUCAAAAAAAAAGUAUGGUGUGCCAUUACUUGCAAGUAUUAUGGGUUUUUAGUCCCCUGUAUUUCCUCCCAUUCUUGAUCCACCUUUCUGCUUAUAUGAACUAGUUCUAUUCGAAUUGAAAUGGGUGGAAAGUAAUGAGAAGAAUCUAUAUAUCUAUAUAUAUCUAUAUAUCUAUAUAUCUAUAUAUACUAUAUAAAGCAUUUCAUAUGCACAUAAUAGUAAUUUACAACACAAUUUGUAAGAUGGCAGACCAAAAAUCACAAACAAAACCUUAUAUUUUUUUCAUUUUUCUUCCCAUUCUACCCUGCUCUCCCUGCAUCGCCCCUGUCAAUUAUGAAACCCUCCAUUGAAAUUGAAUGUUAUCAUCAGUUUCUUCAACUCAAUCGUCCUCUUCAAUGCAAUAAUUAGUUUCAUCAAUACAAUCGUUCCUCCUUCAAUUCGAGUUCGUUUCCAGCCACCCGAAAUAUUAAGAUGUCGACAAUCAUCUUCAGUCUGGUAAUCUAUCGAUUGGUACGCCUUUUCUUUUACGAUGACAACGAUAAACCUGUUGAUUUUAGUUUUAAAGGCUCCAAUGCUCUCUUCGCCCUUACCGAUAGGUAAAAGAGAAUAUCUCCUAAUGAUCCAGAUGCUUCAAAGAAACUAAAAGAAUGUGAAACGGCUGUUAUGAAGCUCAAGUUUGAAGAAGCAAUUUAUGUGCCUACUUCAGAACAACGCUCGGUAGCCGAGUCUAUCGGCUUUCGAACCAUAGUGGUUGUGGUUUGAAAUCUGAAUAACGGGAAGUCAGGAGAACGAUGGAUAACCUGUUAAGGAGGCAAACGAUUCCGCAAAUGAAACUCCUCCAACAUCCCAGCCCUCAGGCAAUGCCAUGGGAGCGGUCCCACCUGAUUGGACCGGAUUUCAGGCUUAUUCGCCUAUGCCUCCACCUGGUUACUUAGCAUCAAGCCCUCAACCUCCUCCCUACAUGUGGGGGGUUCAGCGGUGAGAGUAAUAAUUCAGUACCGAAUGCCAAAAUACCAAAAAAAAGCUGGUACAGAUACCGUAUUGUAUUUUACCGAAUAUCCGCAUUUGAGAAAUCCUAAUACCAAUACCAAUUAGGCUAUAUGGAUGCCAUAUCGCUAAGGUGCCGUUUUAAAUAAUAGAUAUUGGAAGAUGGAUUGAACAAGUUAGAGAGUGUUUCUUGCAACAAAGCAGAAGGCGCAAGUUAGAGGGUGCUUUAAGUGGAGAUUUAGAUAAUACUCCUGUUAUUGAACAAAUUUUGAAGCUAGCAAAGGCUAAGCUUCUUGGACAUAAUAACUACGCAGAGUUAAGCAUGGCUACAAAGAUGGCCACUGUUGACAAAGCAGAAGAGCUGCUCGAAAAGCUAAGGAGUGCUUCUUGUAUUUAAAUAUCUUGUUAUUAAGGUUGUAUUAUAUCCGGUGGCGGGUCUAGAAGAAAGAUUCAGGGUAUCCCAAUUUUUUUUUUUUAAAGUUCGUAUAAAGAAUGAAACCUCGAUAAUAACUUUACCGUUUGUUUAGUUUGAUUGUUUGCAUAGGCAGAUAAUGAGA